rnacentral:rRNA from 1 species
UUGGAGGGCAAGUCUGGUGCCAGCAGCCGCGGUAAUUCCAGCUCCAAUAGCGUAUAUUAAAGUUGUUGCAGUUAAAAAGCUCGUAGUUGAAUUUCGGGGUUAGUAGGUUGGUCAUGCCUCUGGUAUGUACUGGUCUCACUGAUUCCUCCUUCCUGAUGAGCCGUAAUGCCAUUAAUUUGGUGUUGCGGGGAAUUUGGACUGUUACUUUGAAAAAAUUAGAGUGUUUAAAGCAAGCUAACGCUUGAAUACAUUAGCAUGGAAUAAUGAAAUAGGACGUUCGAUCCUAUUUUGUUGGUUUCUAGGAUUGACGUAAUGAUUAAUAGGGAUAGUUGGGGGCAUUAGUAUUCAAUUGUCAGAGGUGAAAUUCUUGGAUUUAUUGAAGACUAACUACUGCGAAAGCAUUUGCCAAGGAUGUUUUCAUUAAUCAAGAACGAAAGUUAGGGGAUCGAAGACGAUCAGAUACCGUCGUAGUCUUAACCAUAAACUAUGCCGACUAGGGAUCGGAUGAUGUUAAUUUUUUAAUGACUCGUUCGGCGCCUUACGGGAAAC